GAAACAUCUUAGUACCCGGAGGAAGAGAAAGAAAAUUCGAUUCCCUUAGUAGCGGCGAGCGAAACGGGAAGAGCCCAAACCAACAAGCUUGCUUGUUGGGGUUGUAGGACACUCUAUACGGAGUUACAAAGGACGACAUUAGACGAAUCAUCUGGAAAGAUGAAUCAAAGAAGGUAAUAAUCCUGUAGUCGAAAAUGUUGUCUCUCUUGAGUGGAUCCUGAGUACGACGGAGCACGUGAAAUUCCGUCGGAAUCUGGGAGGACCAUCUCCUAAGGCUAAAUACUCUCUAGUGACCGAUAGUGAACCAGUACCGUGAGGGAAAGGUGAAAAGCACCCCGGAAGGGGAGUGAAAUAGAACCUGAAACCGUGUGCUUACAAGUAGUCAGAGCCCGUUAAUGGGUGAUGGCGUGCCUUUUGUAGAAUGAACCGGCGAGUUACGAUUUGAUGCAAGGUUAAGCAGUAAAUGUGGAGCCGUAGCGAAAGCGAGUCUGAAUAGGGCGUUUAGUAUUUGGUCGUAGACCCGAAACCAGGUGAUCUACCCUUGGUCAGGUUGAAGUUCAGGUAACACUGAAUGGAGGACCGAACCGACUUACGUUGAAAAGUGAGCGGAUGAACUGAGGGUAGCGGAGAAAUUCCAAUCGAACCUGGAGAUAGCUGGUUCUCUCCGAAAUAGCUUUAGGGCUAGCCUCAAGUGAUGAUUAUUGGAGGUAGAGCACUGUUUGGACGAGGGGCCCCUCUCGGGUUACCGAAUUCAGACAAACUCCGAAUGCCAAUUAAUUUAACUUGGGAGUCAGAACAUGGGUGAUAAGGUCCGUGUUCGAAAGGGAAACAGCCCAGACCACCAGCUAAGGUCCCAAAAUAUAUGUUAAGUGGAAAAGGAUGUGGCGUUGCCCAGACAACUAGGAUGUUGGCUUAGAAGCAGCCAUCAUUUAAAGAGUGCGUAAUAGCUCACUAGUCGAGUGACACUGCGCCGAAAAUGUACCGGGGCUAAACAUAUUACCGAAGCUGUGGAUUGUCCUUUGGACAAUGGUAGGAGAGCGUUCUAAGGGCGUUGAAGCAUGAUCGUAAGGACAUGUGGAGCGCUUAGAAGUGAGAAUGCCGGUGUGAGUAGCGAAAGACGGGUGAGAAUCCCGUCCACCGAUUGACUAAGGUUUCCAGAGGAAGGCUCGUCCGCUCUGGGUUAGUCGGGUCCUAAGCUGAGGCCGACAGGCGUAGGCGAUGGAUAACAGGUUGAUAUUCCUGUACCACCUAUAAUCGUUUUAAUCGAUGGGGGGACGCAGUAGGAUAGGCGAAGCGUGCGAUUGGAUUGCACGUCUAAGCAGUAAGGCUGAGUAUUAGGCAAAUCCGGUACUCGUUAAGGCUGAGCAGUGAUGGGGAGAAGACAUUGUGUCUUCGAGUCGUUGAUUUCACACUGCCGAGAAAAGCCUCUAGAUAGAAAAUAGGUGCCCGUACCGCAAACCGACACAGGUAGUCAAGAUGAGAAUUCUAAGGUGAGCGAGCGAACUCUCGUUAAGGAACUCGGCAAAAUGACCCCGUAACUUCGGGAGAAGGGGUGCUCUUUAGGGUUAACGCCCAGAAGAGCCGCAGUGAAUAGGCCCAAGCGACUGUUUAUCAAAAACACAGGUCUCUGCUAAACCGUAAGGUGAUGUAUAGGGGCUGACGCCUGCCCGGUGCUGGAAGGUUAAGAGGAGUGGUUAGCUUCUGCGAAGCUACGAAUCGAAGCCCCAGUAAACGGCGGCCGUAACUAUAACGGUCCUAAGGUAGCGAAAUUCCUUGUCGGGUAAGUUCCGACCCGCACGAAAGGCGUAACGAUUUGGGCACUGUCUCAACGAGAGACUCGGUGAAAUCAUAGUACCUGUGAAGAUGCAGGUUACCCGCGACAGGACGGAAAGACCCCGUGGAGCUUUACUGUAGCCUGAUAUUGAAAUUCGGCACAGCUUGUACAGGAUAGGUAGGAGCCUUUGAAACGUGAGCGCUAGCUUACGUGGAGGCGCUGGUGGGAUACUACCCUAGCUGUGUUGGCUUUCUAACCCGCACCACUUAUCGUGGUGGGAGACAGUGUCAGGCGGGCAGUUUGACUGGGGCGGUCGCCUCCUAAAAGGUAACGGAGGCGCUCAAAGGUUCCCU
rnacentral:rRNA from 1 species